CGUGAAGCAGGAGCUUGCUCUGUGGAAAGUGGCAGACGGGUGAGUAACGCGUGGGAAUUUACCCAGUGGUUCGGAAUAACUUCAGGAAACCGGAGCUAAUACCGAAUACGCCCUUCGGGGGAAAGAUUUAUCGCCAUUGGAUGAGCCCGCGUCGGAUUAGCUUGUUGGUGAGGUAAAAGCUCACCAAGGCGACGAUCCGUAGCUGGUCUGAGAGGAUAAUCAGCCACACUGGGACUGAGACACGGCCCAGACUC
rnacentral:rRNA from 1 species